rfam:Salmo salar isolate Sally breed double haploid chromosome ssa10, whole genome shotgun sequence.
UGGCUCAGUUGGUAGAGCAUGGUGUUUGCUAUGCUAGGGUUGUGGGUUCGAUUCCCAC